UGGGACUAGAAGCUUAGCUCAGCUAUAUAUAUAUACAUCAACUCUUGUACAUACACAUUACAAUUAAAUACAAUACAAUUUACUUCCUUAUACAGCUACAUAUUCAUUCUCUUCUUCUUACUCUUCUUCUUACUUUUCUUCCUCUUCAUUUUUUCCUUUAUCUUCUUCUCUGAUUCUGUCUCUAACAGCUUUAUGAUCUUUACUUGGUUUCAUUCUUAAAUUCUACACAAAGUGGCUGUACUCUUGAAUUUUCCAUCUCUCUGUUUAAACAACAGAAUUAUUAAAACAACUACAAGUGAAGCUUGCCAAAAUGUAAAGUGAAAACUCAUUUCCUAAUAAUUGUCUACCCUUGUUUUUCUUGUAAACUGGAUAUCCACCUAAAACUGACAAGGAAGUACAAGAAAAGUAUGUUCUGAUUUUUUUUUUUUUUUUGUGUUUUUUGCUUUGGGAAAAACCUUUUCAGGUUUUAAAUGAAGACCUACGGCAAGUGAUUGGACAACAAGACCGGAUGCUCAAUGGUGCUAAUGUUUGGAACCUGCCUGUAUCAUACGAUGAGCUAGGAGUGAGGUAUAGGAUAUGGAGAGAUGCUGUUGAGAGUGGAGCAAAGAAAUUGCCAUUCAGCAAAUGAACAUGGAACUAAUCCAAGGAUAGAUUUUACAUCUCAAGAUGAAUGUUAACUCUAAACAACCUUACCUCUUUGAACAACUUUAGUUGCUGAGUAUCUAUGUUGGUAUAAAACGCGGUAUACCACACUUGCUCUGAGGAUAUACCAGAGCAUCUUGCUAUUGGUUCACCAAAAGGAGAUGAUUGCAGUAUAGCUUCCCUUGUAAAAAUAAAUAAAUUAUAUACUAAGGCUGCAUUCACUUUUAUUAAGGUUCAAACAUUCUGAAUCUAAAUGUAUAUCUAAAUAAUUGAGGUGGUUUGGCCAUGUGAUGAGGAGAGGCACGGAUGCCCCAGUUCGUAGGUGUGAGAGGUUGACCUUGGAAGGUUUCAAGCGGGGUAGGGGUAGACCGAAGAAAUACUGG
rnacentral:lncRNA from 1 species